CCUACGGGAGGCAGCAGUGGGGAAUAUUGGACAAUGGGCGAAAGCCUGAUCCAGCCAUGCCGCGUGUGUGAAGAAGGUCUUCGGAUUGUAAAGCACUUUAAGUUGGGAGGAAGGGCAUUAACCUAAUACGUUAGUGUUUUGACGUUACCGACAGAAUAAGCACCGGCUAACUCUGUGCCAGCAGCCACGGUAAUACAGAGGGUGCAAGCGUUAAUCGGAAUUACUGGGCGUAAAGCGCGCGUAGGUGGUUUGUUAAGUUGGAUGUGAAAGCCCCGGGCUCAACCUGGGAACUGCAUUCAAAACUGACAAGCUAGAGUAUGGUAGAGGGUGGUGGAAUUUCCUGUGUAGCGGUGAAAUGCGUAGAUAUAGGAAGGAACACCAGUGGCGAAGGCGACUACCUGGACUGAUACUGACACUGAGGUGCGAAAGCGUGGGGAGCAAACAGGAUUAGAUACCCUGGUAAUCCACGCCGUAAACGAUGUCAACUAGCCGUUGGGAGCCUUGAGCUCUUAGUGGCGCAGCUAACGUAUUAAGUUGACCGCCUGGGGAGUACGGCCGCAAGGUUAAAACUCAAAUGAAUUGACGGGG
rnacentral:rRNA from 1 species